rnacentral:pre_miRNA from 1 species
AAAAACCAUAAAAACAAACUCACAAAUCAAGCUAAACUUUGCUUAAUAGCGUAAAACUUAGCCUGGUUGGUUUGUGAGUUUGUUUUUAUAGUUUUUAUAUAUAUCUUUCU